UACGUAGGGUGCAAGCGUUAAUCGGAAUUACUGGGCGUAAAGCGUGCGCAGGCGGUUUUGUAAGUCUGACGUGAAAGCCCCGGGCUCAACCUGGGAAUUGCGUUGGAGACUGCAAUGCUAGAAUCUGGCAGAGGGGGGUAGAAUUCCACGUGUAGCAGUGAAAUGCGUAGAGAUGUGGAGGAACACCGAUGGCGAAGGCAGCCCCCUGGGUCAAGAUUGACGCUCAUGCACGAAAGCGUGGGGAGCAAACAGG
rnacentral:rRNA from 1 species